AUUAGGGGUGAAACGAUUACUCGAGUAAAUCGAGUAACUCGAUUCACAAAAUUGAUCGAUUAAUUUUCUGUGCCUCGAGUAAUCGUUUAUUUAAUUAAUAAACUCAGCGCGCGGUAUUUUCGCGACUUUUAUUUUGACAACGCGCUCAGGGUUACGUCACCCUGCCCGGGAACAAGGAGACGGAGGUUUGAGCAGCGGCAAAAAUGGAAGUGGCGAGAGAAAACAGCGAUUUUAAAGGAAUAAAAGCAUUUUAUGUUCGAACUGUGACCUGUACUCGGUGCAGUGCCAAAACAGCGCGUUUUAAUGCUGCACCAUCUGAGCCGAGGACACCCGAGACGCGAGGACGCCGAGAGAGCAGGUCCUGAUAUAUUUUGGAGAAGCGGCUUGGUGGUAAAAGAAUGCAGCACACUGAUCCAACACUGGCAGAACUGACAACGUCUCAGAAGCUAAGAUGCACAACACAAAGACGAUGUUUAUGCCUUUUUUAUUGAUUUAUACACUAUAUUUGUUAUUUACAAGAAAUCCAAAUGUGAAAGUAAUGUAAUUAAAUUUAUUUUUUUUAUUGUGGUAUUUAUUUAUUUAUUGUGUUUUAUUUAUUUGUAUUUGCAAUUUGGAAAUGUUGUGAAUUUAAAAAUAUAACUUAUCUAAAAAAGGAAA